rnacentral:lncRNA from 10 species
CUCAACCACCUUGACCUAACUGAUAGCUACAGAACAUUAUACUCAACAUCUGCAAGAUACAGGUAUAAAUAUCCUAUGCUCCUUGAUAGCAGGAGUCACAUCUUACGUGUUUGUAAAUAAAACAAAACUGGAUGCUCAAAAAUGUGUGACAAAGAUAGUAGGAGUAUGAUUACAUAAGAAAAUGACAUCAACAUCAGGCUUUGAUGCAAUGAUAGCAAAGCAAUUGCUAAGAACACCUCAGCACAGGCUCCCACAGUGAGCAACUGACGGUGGGUACAUGUCCACACACAGAUGUACGCAUGUGACACAACCAGUUUUAAAAGACUUGAUAGUUCUAUUGAAGGUGUGUCAGUUUUAAUCCUAGAUUUUAGUUUGAAUGCUGCGCAACAGCCCAGCCUCAGAGAGAGAAAAACAAAACAACAGCUGCACUAACAAUUUGAAAAUAAAUGGACACAGGUACUAUCCAUGUGGCUGCAAGAUUGUGUCUGAUAUGUACGUCUCACAGGCGUUUUAUUAGUUUGGUUUAAAAAGCCUCACUGUGCUCUGUGGAAAAUCUUGUACAAGUGCUCUUUAAGUUAGAUAAACCGCUAGAACUUUAUUCCAUCUCUGUGGGGACUGCAGUUGAGAGUGUGAUGUACAGUACAGAGAAAGGAAUCAUCAGCCACAAUGUCCCAGGGCUCUCUCCAUUGAGGACUUCGCAGCCUCUGCUUAAAGACUGCAUUUAAUAAACCCCAUCAGCUCACCAAAUGCAACAAUAUGAGCAGCUGAAGUUCGACACCCACUCUCCAUAUUGGCUCCCUUUCCUUUGUUUACUGCUAUUAAUGGCCCUGAAACUAGGAAAUAACCUAUGGAAAUAGGUCAUCAGAGACCUUUUCCUUUGAUGUGUGUGAACGGAUUCUGUGGAAAUAGGUCACGAUGUGUGUGUGUGCAUGGGCAAGCAUGACUGUGCAGGGAUCUAUAUCUUUUUAGGUAUUACUGAUGACUUUUAGUGCCCUCCAUUCGGAAAUGCUUUGCAAGCUUCAUUCAGAAACAGAUACCCACAUCUGAUAAGGAACAUAUCAAAGAGUGAGUGAAAAACCGAUACAUUAGUGAUACAUUCUACCGGAAGUCAAAGGUGAGGACAAAAUGAGGUCCAGAAGCCCUGCCAUUGUAUGUCAGCCAGUCACAUGGCCGUAACCAACUGGUAGGGCCUCUCUUCCUAGCGUCUCUGUGCUGAGCCUAGGACGACAGGGUGGCAUCCAGUAAUUCUCCUUGAGAACAACAUUUUUCUGAGGCCCCUUUAGGGGCAGUGUGUUCUAAAGAGUAAUAAGACACUGAAUCUUCGAUCUAUGGCCUCAGCCACAAUCCUCAGCCUCACAGAAAAUUAACAUCAUAAGAAAUGUCUAGCACGCUAUCUUUGGGGUUUAUAAAUUAAAAAGUACACUAACUGCCAGUAUUUUUUAUUCUUGUAAAUCAAAGCUGCUAGACGCAAGCUAAAACACAUGAUUUGUCUUUUAAUAGCUUAACCCUGAAAUUGAGUGACAGACCUGAAGACUUUAUCCCAGGUUCCUUAAGAAAUGAGAAUCCAAAGAAUCACGAUGAGCUCUUAAAAACUCUGCCUUCCUCCAAGAAGUCAUUUUUCUUUGAGUUUCUUUUAAAUUGUCUUUGUUUUUAGGAAGGCUGAUCAUAUGGAGCCUUGGUACGUUCCUGUGGCCCCCUCUUUGCACUUGGUAAGCAGUACAGCUAUGUUAUAUUUAUGCCCGCGUAUGUCCUUUCUAAAUACAUCCUGAAUUUUUGCUAAAUUGUGGAGAUAAUUAAACCCUCUUCAUAUUUACAGUCUGCUUCAUUGGUACCAUGAAUUCUGUUUUCAGUUACUGUCUGCAAAUUCCCUCUCUGAACAAUUUCAUACUAAGCAAUAACACUUCAUUUUACGUAAGUUUUAUCUGAUGUCCCCAUACAGAGCUGCCAGCUGUACAGCAAAUGUGCGGUUCUCAAACUGAGGCCUACCAGGCCACAGGCUCCAUCCUGAGAUCUAUAAGGCACCUUGCUGUCAUUGGCAAGCGUUCCCUGCUAUCUCUGUGACCAUCACUCCACACUGCACACAACUUAAAAUCAUCUGAUUAUUAGAAUUUGUGGCCCACACUCCAUUUUAUCCUUUAUUUAAUCUAUCCCCAGAUCACACAUUUGUUUAAAUGUUUUGGCUGGUUUACAAAUCAUGCAGCCAUCUGCACAGUAGGUGUGACACAAUUUUUUAGACAAAAGUUACGUUAUAAACAAAGAUAAAGUCAUUUGAAAUGCUUUGGUGUUUGUUAUUCUGCCUGGUUCACUUGGACCAACUCUAAGAAAUAAAUAGAAUUAUCUGUGUAAAUCGAUGAACAUCUAUGAAAAACAACACCCAGCAGAACGCCCAGCUU